rnacentral:rRNA from 1 species
CACACGACUCUCGGCAACGGAUAUCUCGGCUCUCGCAUCGAUGAAGAACGUAGCAAAAUGCGAUACCUGGUGUGAAUUGCAGA